rnacentral:rRNA from 1 species
CUUCAGGGUUAGUCGGGACCUAAGCCGAGGCCGCAAGGCGUAGGCGAUGGACAACAGGUUGAUAUUCCUGUACCACGUCCCCACCGCUAUCACCGAUGGCGGGACGGGGUAGGCUACGGAAACCCGGUUAUUGGAUUCCGGGGUAACCGCGUAGGGCGGGCGAUAGGGAAAUCCGUCGCCCAUUCAAAGCCUGAGACGGGAUGCCGAGCUCGAACAGAGCGAAGUUCCUUAAGCCAUGCCUCCUAGAAAAGGGUCUAGGGAGGUGGGACGUGCCCGUACCAAAACCGACACAGGUGGGCAGGUAGAGAAUACUAAGGCGAUCGGAAGAACCCUCGUUAAGGAACUCGGAAAAAUGGUCCCGUAACUUCGGGAGAAGGGACGCCCCGGUAGGGUGAAGGCCUUUUACAGGCCCAGCCCGAGGGGGCCGCAGUGAAACGGCCCAAGCGACUGUUUACCAAAAACACAGGUCUCUGCGAAGUCGUAAGACGACGUAUAGGGGCUGACGCCUGCCCGGUGCCGGAAGGUCACGAGGAGAGGUUAGUCUUCGGACGAAGCUUUGAAUCCAAGCCCCGGUAAACGGCGGCCGUAACUAUAACGGUCCUAAGGUAGCGAAAUUCCUUGUCGGGUAAGUUCCGACCUGCACGAAUGGCGUAACGACUUGGGCGCUGUCUCAACGAGGGAUCCGGUGAAAUUGUAGUCUCGGUGAAGAUGCCGAGUACCCGUGGUUGGACGGAAAGACCCCGUGAACCUUUACUGCAGCUUGAUAUUGGAGUUUGGGGUGCGUUGUCCAGGAUAGGUGGGAGGCUUUGAAGCGGGGGCGCCAGCUCUCGUGGAGCCAACCUUGGGAUACCACCCUUCGCAUUCUGGGCUUCUAACCCGACGCCGUGAUCCGGGUCGGGAACAGUGUCAGGUGGGCAGUUUGACUGGGGCGGUCGCCUCCUAAAUUGUAACGGAGGCGCACAAAGGUUCCCUCAGCACGGUUGGAAAUCGUGCGUAGAGCGCAAAGGCAUAAGGGAGCUUGACUGCGAGACAGACAGGUCGAGCAGGUGCGAAAGCAGGUCUUAGUGAUCCGGCGGUUAAGAGUGGAAUUGCCGUCGCUCAACGGAUAAAAGGUACUCCGGGGAUAACAGGCUUAUCCUUCCCAAGAGUCCACAUCGACGGAAGGGUUUGGCACCUCGAUGUCGGCUCGUCGCAUCCUGGGGCUGGAGCAGGUCCCAAGGGUCGGGCUGUUCGCCCGUUAAAGCGGUACGCGAGCUGGGUUCAGAACGUCGUGAGACAGUUCGGUCCCUAUCCACCAUGGGCGCUGGAAGCUUGAGAGGAGUCGUCUCUAGUACGAGAGGACCGAGACGAACAGACCGCUGGUGUAUCAGUCGUCGUGCCAACGGCGCUGCUGAUUAGCUACGUCUGGAUGGGAUAACCGCUGAAAGCAUCUAAGCGGGAAGCCCACCUCAAGAUGAGGCUUCCCAUCCCCUCGAGGGAGUAAGGGCCGUGGGAGACCACCACGUUGAUAGGCGGGACGUGCAAGCGCAGCAAUGCGUUCAGCGGACCCGUACUAAUUGCCCGAGGUCUC